AUAGAACAAAAAACAAGUACUAGACUAGGAUUUAAUACCCUUACAGAAUCAAAAGGACAACAGACAGACUUCUUUUUUCAGCAAAAUGCAAAUCGAUGAGUACAUUAACACUUCAAAUGCUUUUGGAGCUUGCGGGGCAUCAUUCGGCCCUACCGCAGAUUUGCGUGCUAGAAUUCCUUGGAGAAAGUGGAGAUCUUACAUUACUUGUCGGACAAAUGUCAUAGCAGCGACAAAAAACAUGGAUUUUGUCAUGUCUUCACAGUGAUUGCAUUUAAUGGUAAUAUAGACUGCAAUUGCCCGUAUCUUUUCUCUGAUAACCCUUUUUUCUUGUAGCAGACGCCUUAUUUGUUCGGCUCGUGCUUCUAAGGUCCGUUCAGCUGCCUGAUUUAGUUUUUGAAACUACCGCAAAUCUCUUUCCAACCCCGCUAUUACCACAUAGUAAUGCUCCCUCUCAGCUUUGAAAUCCUUGGUCUCCUUGGCCAUUUUGUUUUCAGCUAGGAUAACCCUCUGUUUUGGACCAGCGCUUUCAUUGCCGCUCCCUUCUUUUAACUGCUCUAAUAUGCGGGCCCUUUCUUCAAUACUUUUAAUUAAUUGUUUCCGAGCUCUAGACAAUUCACCCUCUGCCUUAUUCAGGUCAAAACCGUAUUCAGUUACUUUUUGGCGCAUGUUCUCUAUGAGCUUUUCAUCCUUUGUACUCCUCGGAGGAUUUUCUGUGGCUGUUUUCAUUUUAUGAAUGUGGGCUCGCAGGGCUUCAUUUUCUUUAACCAAUUCCUUCUUUUCUCCCUCGCUAGCAGCAGUUUGUAGGUUGUUUUCGAAUUGCGAUUCUUGAUUUUCUGUUCCAGCCUUCCUAUGGUAGUAAAGUAUUCAUUUUCUUUUGCUAACCAAUCACACUGCACUUGUGAUGUUUCGACGAACUCUUGGAGGUAAGGCCUUUUGGAUGGUCUUUCGUGCUCAAUUUCUCUCCUAUGCCAAGCAAGGUAUCCCGGAGACACUUCACCUCUGGCGGGAUCUUGUACACAAGUGUCAGCGGUUAGGUAUUGGCAUUCAUUCUAGAUUUUGCGAACCAUUGCUUCGGGGAACUGACUACCAGGCCUAAUUUCGACCACCCGAAUGCUGAGAUCUUCG
rnacentral:lncRNA from 1 species